rnacentral:tRNA from 1 species
GCACGAGUGGCUCAGUGGUGGAGCACCACCUUGCCAAGGUGGGGGCCGCGGGUUCGAGUCCCGUCUCGUGCU